UUUGGUCUAAUUUCUUCUUCAAGCUCGUAGCCCUUAGGUGAAAGAACCUUCCGAAGAAAUGCCUGCACCAUUGGUAGCAGGACUGGCUAUAGCUGCCGCUGCAUAUGCUGGAAGGUAUGGAAUCCAGGCAUGGAAAGCAUUCAAAGCCAGACCUCCGACUGCAAGAAUGCGUAAGUUUUAUGAAGGAGGUUUUCAGCCUAAAAUGAACAGGAGGGAAGCAGCUCUUAUUCUUGGAGUCAGGGAAAGCGUUCAAGCAGAUAAAGUAAGGGAAGCACAUAGGAAGGUGAUGGUAGCUAACCAUCCAGACGCAGGAGGUAGUCACUACCUUGCUUCUAAAAUUAAUGAAGCCAAAGACACCUUGCUUGGAAAUACGAAGAAUAUCGGAUCCGCAUUUUAGGCUCAACAACAGAGUUUUUAGUUGUGCUAUAGAAGUUCCAAAUACUACGCUCUUUAUAGAAGAUGCAUUCAGUUGGAUGAGUUAGUAUUUGUCACCUGCACUAGUUAACCGAAUGUUGGAGAAUUUGCUACUAGUGUUCUUGCUUGGAACAGCCAGUUGUGAGCAACUAUGUCUCAAUUCCAAACAAGUUAGAAUCGGUUAUGGCAAUGUGAUGUAUCCUCUUUUUUCUGUUGGCGGGUUGGGGAGAGAGAGGACGGUUGAAGAAUUGUAGGACUCUUACUAGUAGAACCAGUGAUACUUAUGCAUCCAUAAUUUGGAUCACGCGGUUUCACAACAGAGAAAAUUGCGAUCUUUGACAAGAUAGUUUAAUGCAUAUCAAAUUAGGCUCACUGUAUCAUCCA